ensembl:lncRNA
CUUAAAUGUGUUACCAUGUGUUCAUGUGAAAAAUCAGGUUAGUUUGAAGAAUCAGCAGUGUCAUAAUGAACUGCUGAGUCUGAUUCAACUGAAACGUUGGGGACAGCUAGAGACACUAGAAGACUCCUAAUUAUUCGUCAGCAAAAAUAAGAGAAUAACAUUACUUUUUUCAGACAUCGGGAAGUCUUCCUUCCUCAAUUUGUUUGAGUGUGCAUGCAUAGACGUCGCCUUGGCUGCAUUUGGGGGAUCCCUUUCAGCUCUCAUAGACUUCUCAGGAGGCUGCCUAAGGCUUCGGUCGAUAGUCGUUCUUGGGGUGUCACUGAUGGAGAAAAUGGGUUGCAUACUAUGCAGCCCAUAAUGGUCACGUACAAGCACACCCAAGACAGAUACAAGUAUCUUAAAGAGCUCCAGUAUUUUUUUCCCAUAUUCCAGAAUAUGUUCCUAACAACACCCUCACCUCCUUGUGGGUUCAGAAGCAUUCUGACGCCGUGUUUAAAUAAAAACUAAUGAUUGGAAAAGUCCAGCAUACGUCAGCAAAGGACCAGUUGAAUAAAAUGAACUGCAAAAAUGUUUCAGAAAAAUAUGUUUCUGUUACGUCCACCUUGAGUACCAAAAUAGUUUUUGGGGCCACUGUAAAUUUUUGCUGGUGUUUCUGAAAUAGUGCAGCUCUUUGACACUAUUCGGAGCCCAUACUUAUUACUCAUUUCAACACGUCAUCUCUUCACAACUACCAAAUAAUCUGACUCACAAACUUGCUCACAUCCUCAACGUCACCAACAAUAGAUCUACUAUUUCUACUGUUCUGUCACAGUGAACACUGCUCACCACUUCCUGCUAGAAUAAUGCUGUUUGAUGCUCUAAGGUUAUGAGGAAUCUGACUCAGCAUCUCUCACUUUUCCCAAAAGAGAUGACUUCACACUGCAGUCCACAGAACAAGCGCUACCACAGGCAGGAAUGUAAGAGAAAGGGAGAAAAUGCAAGAACAAUCGAUCAGUUUAUAAGUGGAAAUUAUAGAUUUUCUCUGAGUGCUUUUUAAAAGUGUACAAAUACACACUUUUUUUCCUCAGCUUUUUUACCCUUUCUUCUCUUUUACUCCUCUCAAUCCCUCGUUCCCUCCUCCUGUCUGUUUGCACUUUUUUUUCUCCACAUUGGGCUGAUCCAUUCUUCAUCAGCAUUCAAAGCGGUUGGGUUCCAGCUGUGAACAAGGAAUUGAAAUGGAAAUAAAGGAGAGCAAAAGAGCAGAUUACUGUCCUCCAGCACACGUUUUGCCUCUUGUUUGGAGCAAUUGGGGAGAAGGGUCAGAAGAAAAGGGCAAGGAAAGAAAGUGUAUUUAAUUUAGGUCAAAACUGGACUACUUAGGCUGGUACAAUGCAGGGCAAAAUGCAAAUAGAGGGGCAGUGUAUCUGUGUACUUUAGCUGCACAGUGGAAGAGGUUAAAGAAUGAACAGUAUUAAAAGAAUGUUCAGAAUGGUAGCGUAAAGGUAAUUGGAAGGUCUUGAAGUAAUAUUAAAGCUAAUCAAAGUAAGGAACUAGUGCACAUAUUUUGUGGCCUUAGGAAACUCUAUUAACCAGUGCUCAGUGCCGGUCACUCAUUUAUCACAGAACUAACUGAAAGCAUUUCUAUAUAUGAAAUAAAGACUUCAUACAAAUAUAUAUGAACUAAGGACAAGAUGGCUGAACAAUGCACCACAACAAUAAGCUUAUCUAAAUUAUAUUAAUUGUAUCCAUGGAAUUAAAUAAUACAAUGCGGUUAAACAUUACAGAUUAAACAAUACAGUUGUUGAUAUGCAUAUUUAGUAAAAUUAAAUUAAAAAACUAAAAUAAAAAAC